rnacentral:misc_RNA from 1 species
AAAAUAAUCCUACCCUUUGUGAAUUUUGUUUGUUUGAAUAAUUUUUUUUUUUAAAAAAUUAUUGGAGUCUUCCCUUUAGAGUUUGCUUUUGAGUUUGUAAAAGAAUUCGAAAACAUCUAAAGGGGAUGGUCAAUAAUUUUUUUUGAAAAAAGACAUUUUUUAAAAUUAAACUUUUUGUAUUCAUUUGUCUAAAAAUUAUUUUUAUAAUAUAAAAACAACUUUUGACAAUGGAUCUCUUGGUUCUCGCAACGAUGAAGAACGCAGCAAAAUGCGAUAAGUAGUGUGGAAUUGCAGAAUACGUGAAUCAUCGAAUCUUUGAACGCAUAUUGCACUUUUUUAGUUUACUAAAAAAGUAUGUCUGUUUGAGUAUCAGUAAAAUAUUCUCAUAAAAAUCAUUGUGUAUUUUUAUGGUUAUGAGUGUUUUACAACGAUACAAGUUGUUUCACUUUAAAUUUUUUUUUAAUAUUGAAAUUUUUCUAAUUUUAAUAAUUAAAAUUGGAUAAAAUUUUCCCGUCAAAAGGAAUAACCUAAACAAUUUUAAAUGAUUAAUUUUAGCAAAAUUUUCGUAAAAAAGGAAAAUUUUUAUUAAAAUAACUUGAUCCCAAAUCAGAUAAGAGUACCCGCUGAACUUAAGCAUAUCAAUAAGCGGAGGAAAAGAAACUAACAAGGAUUCCCUUAGUAACGGCGAGUGAAGCGGGAAGAGCUCAAAUUUGAAAUCUUCAAGGUUUUACCUUGACGAAUUGUAGUUUAAAGAAGUGUUUUCUGCUGAAGUUUUGGUAAAAGUUCUUUGGAAUAGGACAUCAUAGAGGGUGAGAAUCCCGUAUUUGACCAUUAUUUUCAGCUUUGUGAUACACUUUCAAAGAGUCGGAUUGUUUGGGAAUGCAGUCCAAAAUGGGUGGUAAAUUUCAUCUAAAGCUAAAUAUUGGCGAGAGACCGAUAGCGAACAAGUACCGUGAGGGAAAGAUGAAAAGAACUUUGAAAAGAGAGUUAAACAGUACGUGAAAUUGUCAAAAGGGAAGCGUUUGACACCAGUGUUGUUUUCUCGAAAAUCAAUUAAAAAUGGCUCGAUUUUGUAUUGCUGAGACCUUAAAAGCUCACUGUACAUUUUUCGUGUCUUUUUUAAUGCACUUUUCGUUUAACAAGUCAACAUCAGUUUCUUUUGUUGUAAAAGGGUCAUUGGAGGUGGCUUUCUUUUCGGAGAAAGUGUUUAUAGCCUUUGGCCUCUGCAAUCGGAGAGACUGAGGUCUGCAGCGUAGACUCUUCGGGGUUAGAUACAUUUGUGCUAAGUUAUAGCUUUUUAUAGACAACUUGUUGACUAUAAUUAGUCUUGUAGCUUACUCGCUUAUGCUAUUUUACCUACGCUUAGGAUG